UUCAGGAAGUCCCAGGGAGACCAGAUUGACUGGAUCCCUCCCUGCCAGACUAAGUGAGAAAACUCCAGCCUCUCAGACAAGCCACCCUGCAGAGUCUGCAAGACCAGCUGCCUAGGAGAAGCAGACUCCAACCAGGCUUCCCGGAAGAGAUUUAGAUCAACUGAGGUAACGGGAAACCACUAGCCUGUUGAACUGCCUCCAAGUUGCAUAGUGUGCUCCAGGCUCCCAGCUUUUGUGAACUGUCACUUAUGCUGAGGUGACCUUUGGUGAUGCAUCUGUCUGUGAAUCAUGUCUGGAAGUAGUAACCUGUCACCCAUAUUCUGUCUCUAGUGAGAAGUUUAUGGAGUGAAGGCCAAUUUCCAGAGGAAGCAGGCUGAAGGUCACCAAGUGACUGGACGAGCCCUCUAUUCUCUGGCGCACACAUUUGGAGGACCUAGAGGUCUGAUGGCUAGCAGCUGAGCUUCCUGGAGUGCAGAUCCCCUCCACAGCAGACAUCUUAACACAGAACUGAAAUACGACAGUCUGCGGGAUUAUGGAUCCUGGAUUUGCACAUGGUUUCUGGAGACAGCAGCACAGACCAUGGACUUCCAUGAAGAUCAACACAGACCCCUGCUGCAGGAAGACCACAGACCCAAACAUGGUCCUUGGAGGAAGCAUGGCCCUGGACAUUACCAUGGCCUCAGGUGGCAGCACAGGCCACUCAGAUCAAGAAUCGUGGCAAGACUGGAAACAGAAAUGAGGUCACAGUUUUACCAUUUAACUAGAGUGGCCUCUGAAGCACAGCAAGCUACUAGACUUUCUAGUUGGACAAGAGAUGAGGAAGAUGGGCUGUGAGAGGCGAAUUCACAGUUACCACACAGUCAGUAAAAGCUCAUACCUGCAUCUGACCCCAGUUAAAAUGGCUCCAGAGUCUGCUUUUUAAAUACUCUAUUUGGCUAUCUGUCGUCAAAGGAAAAAUAUUUAUAAGAAGUUAUCUCGUUAUCUAGAGUAAGUGAAGAUCCCAGACUUUCUCAUCAGUGAAGUCAUGAUGGGAAAACAUGAGGCCAUUCCCAAACGAAGCCUUAACAAUCAAGACAGGUCCUGCCUUAAUUUUAUGUAUAGAUAGGCUGAAAAGAUGAGAAGAAACUACAGCUUUUAUUUUAUUUAAAAAAAAUCACAAGAAGAACAACAACAACAACAAAA